rnacentral:lncRNA from 10 species
UCUUAAAAGCUGUAACACUCACCACAAAGAUCUGCUGAGUGAAGUCUGUGAGACGAACGCACCAAGUCUGGACGCUCUGUCAGGCUACAUUUUACGUUUUUGGGAGUGAGCAGGUGUUAUUCUGUUCCCCGGGUUGGUUUUGAAGUCAUGGCUCUCAAGUAAUUUUUGUGCUUCUCAAAAGUGCUGGAAUUGCAAAGAUCAACAUCAAAAGCUACAAACUGGAAACAGAGGAAGAUACUAGCCCCGUGUUUCUGAUUCAGUAUCACUGAAAUACUUUGGAACCAUAUAAAGGGCAAAGUACAUUCCACAUGUUGAAGGACAGUGCCUGGCCCUGUGGGGUGUCAUCCCCAAGCUGUAGGCAUAGUGGCAACCCAGGGGUUCAUCUCAACUCCCAUCAGGUCAGUAGCUUUUUGGGUGAUGAAGUGUAUGGUCGGGAUCAGCAGGUCCCCUGGUUAUGCGCCCCCUGCCUCACCUCAUUCUCUUUAGAAUGUCCUAGGCACUGUUACUCUGGAUCCCAUGUCAGUAAAUCGGGUACUCAGUGACCCUUAGGAAAGGCUACUAUGUAGUGGAUCAUUGUGAUGUUCUGCACAAGGUCCCCAGAGUUUAAAUCUCUUUAUUGUAUCAUGACAGAGACAUGAGAGUUAACUUAGCCCUGGGACAAAAUUGUGAAUGUGCAUUGUGAACUGCAAAAUAAUAAGAAUGAAUGAAAAUGUAAACUGGUUUGGAUCAUAUUUCCUGAUGGGGAUAGAAAAGAACACAAUCAAAAUCAAAUGCAAAAUCAACGGCUGCAUACCAUGUACUUGAGCCUGCACACAUCUCUUCCAGCCAGCGUGCCGUAUCUGGCCCAAUUUGGGUCUGCUACUUGGUUGAGUUGCAUAAUCUACUAUCCCAAGACAAACCAGGAUUCCUCAUGAUCCAGACUGGUUAAUGAAAUGGAUGGCUUGGCACAGUGGCUCAUGCCUGUAAUCCUAGCACUUUGGGAGGCCAAGGCAGUUGGAUCACCUGAGGUCAGGAGUUCGAGACCAGCCUGGCCAACAGGGUGAAACUGUCUCUACUACAAAAAUACAAAAAUUAGCUAGGCAUGGUGGUGCACGCCUGUAGCCUCAGCUACUUGGGAGGCUGAGGGAUGAGAAUCGCUUGAACCUGGGAGGUGGAGGUUGCUGUGAGCCGAGAUCAUGCCACUGCACUCUACCCUGGGUGACAGAGCGAAACUCUGACUCAAAACAAAUAAAUGUAGAUGUUACAAGGAGCACCAAUCCACCAUGUUUUCGAUUCUUACGGGUAGCACCAAUUUUGGCCAUCUCCCUCCGUCUCCCUGUGUGCAUCUCAUAAUGCCCUCUUCUCCAUCCUCCCAUUGUCCCCUCCUCCCCCCAGAUGAAGUACACACAAUAUAUCUCUUUUGUUUGCUAUCUUGGCAGAGUGGAUAGGGUCAAUUUCAGAAAUUUCUACUUGGCUUUCCCCAUGGAAUGCCCUCACCCCACAGGCCAAAGACCCAAUGGGGAGGCUAUGCCAACUUCUGAGAAUAUUUACCCCAGUUAUACAUUUGUGGACUGAGGCCAUGACUGCCGGUGGGCCUGUAGUCUUACUGAAUCCACUGUGAGCCACCAUGCCAUGGACAGGACUCCAUGGAUCACCUGGUCACCAUGUGCCCCACAGAAGCAGAGUGCGGGCAGCUGCAAUGCUGUGGCAGGUCUCAGGGUAUCAAUGUCACUUCUGACCCUGUUCUAACAGUCCUCCAAAAUACUUCAAAUACUUGAGUAUUUCCCCUUCCCUGGUGAACAGUUCUGUGAGAUCUUAGGUCCCCUUGCAGAAGGACUCAGGAAAUCAUGACUGUGCCCAUUUGCCAGGGUGUUACAGGGUCUUUCUGUUAGAUACCUGGCCCUCCUCCCAGUCAAGGGCUUCAGGGUUUGAAAUCUGGCGCAUAUUCAGAAACUGGGCAGGUGGUCCUGACUUUUGUAGGAGCACCCAUCCUUAGUCUGCUCAUUAUCCAUCCUGGAUUUCUUCCUAUGACACAGGUUGAGAAGCACCCCUGUCUGCCUGUGUAUUUUGCUGCUAGGGAUGUGGUCCUCUAUGAACUAUCUCCAUAGCUCUCUGUGGUCCAGGCUCCCUCAGCUGCUUUUCUGAGCUUUUCCCUGAUUGCGGUCAUGGCUUCCACCUGGCUUCUGAGGAUUAUGUGCCACCACGUAGUUCUCCUAUUUUAGGGUCUUGUCAUCCCACUUGCUAUCAGUAAGCCCAGCUCUGUUGAACCCUUCCAACUGUCUGCCCAGGCUGGCAGAGUAGAGCCACCACUGAGCUUCCGAGUGAUGUGGGUGCUUUACGUCUUGGUGGAGGAUGUUUUCUCUGAGCCUUCCUGUGGAGCAUAAAUAUCUGGUAAGUGAUCUGGUCUUGGAUGGCACUUCACUGAUCAUACACACCUCCCUGAGUCUUACAAUCCCUUAAUCCACUGUCUGACUUGGCACUUCUGACAUUUUAACAUUACCUAGCAUGGGCAUCCUCUUUUUCCAUGGUCCGAAAGCCAUCUGUACUAGCGUCUGUGGCUGCCGUAACAAAUGACCACAAACUGGAUGGUGUAAAAACAACAGAAACUGUUCUCUGACAGUCCUAGAGGUCAAGGUGUCAUCAGGGCCACACUCCCACCAGGGCUUUAGGGGGAGAAUCGGUUCCUUGCCUUUUCCAGCUUCUGGUGGUUUCCAGCAUUCCUUGGCUUGUGGCCAUAUCACUUCAGUCUCUGCCUCUGCCUUCACAUGGUCUUCCCCCUGUUCUCCAUUAUCUAUCUAUGUGUCUCCUAUAAAAACACUUGUCACUGGAUUUAGGGCCCACCCAUAUAAUCCAGGAUGAUCUCAUCUCAAGAUCCUUAAUUCUGAAAAGACCAUUUUCCCAAAUAAGGUCACCUUCACAGGUUUUAGGGAUUAGGAUGUGGACAUUUCUUUUGGGUUUGCAGGGGGUGGGGUGGAGGGCACCAAACUCACUAUGUCAUCUUAGUUCCAAAUGUACACCAUCUCCUGGGGUCUUUACUCGGGGGUUAAAUCCUAUAUCUUUGGCCAGGGCUCUCCAGUCAGUAGACUCUCCCCCAUCCACAUUUAUGUUCUGGCCCCCUUGACCAAGUACCCCAAGAAUCCAGUCUUAUUCAUACCCCCUGACACUUUUGGUACCUGUUAGCUGGGUCAUCAGCUCUCUUUGAGUUUAAGCCCUUUCUUCCCUUAUAAGGCCCAGUGCAACCUCAGCUGGGUGAUGCUGGAAUUUAAACCUAUACUAGUAUCCGGGAAAGAAGCUGGGGCUCAUCCUGGGUGGAGGGCACAAGUGUCUUGAAGGGAAGAGGCCUCUGCAUUGUCUUCAAGCAAUGGGGCCGGGGGUGGGCUGGCUCUUGCUAUGGAGGGAUAGCCCACAUUUGUGGGGUUGGAGGGUCUAGAGGAAACUAGAAUUUCAAGGGGUAGGGCAUCAACACAGAUGUUUGCAUCCUGUAUUUCACAGUCCUGUUCUUCCCCAAUCAGGGCCCUGAACUUGACACAGCAGAUCUGGCAUGGUUGGGAGUGUCACCUUCUUUGGUCUCAGAUGAUUAAUUCUUAGCCCUGGUCCUCAGCUUUCUCUGGCCUCCCAAUGCAAAAGAGAGUUUCUCUGUACACUUCCAAAGAGGUUCUCUGGCAUUCAUACUCAGAUUUCAAUUGCUUGGUAAUUGCUUUCAACCUUUUGUUAUCUUUUUCUAGAGUAAAAGGAGCUUAACUAUAUGGCCGUUCUCCAGGUUGCUGCUCUAAGCAACAGGGGCUGAUUCCACCAGCACCUCUAAGAAGUGUACAGAAUUCCUCCCAGCAUUUGGGAGCUGGGGCACUUGUCAUUGGCUCUCAUCCUCUAUCAUGGGAAGAUUGCCACCAGAUGCAUUAAUUCCAUGCAUCUGGUGCACCAUGGUGCACUUCGGAGGCUCGCAUGAUUUGGAGAAGGCAGAAAAGCAGAGUUGUAGAGCAUAGGCUUGAGGCAAGCAGGCAGCUGAGCUCUCAUGGAACUGUCUACCAUAGCAGCAGCUGAAAUUAGAGGCAAGCCCAGGGGCAGGAGGCAGUGUACCAGAAUCUGCUGCUACUGCAUGCACAUUUCCAACUAUUUUAUCAAUGUCAAAUUUUAAACUUUUUAUAUCCACUUGUGUUCCUUUCCAGAGUUCAAACAUUGAAUUAGUUGUGCAAUGGAAGGAGUAUUACCAGGACCCAGAUGCAGCCCAAGGAAAAAAGAAAACAAAAGGAGACACACACAGUAAGUGGUGUCUCAUUGUGAUUUGGAUUUGCAUUUCCCUAGUGAUUAGUGAUGGGAAACAUAUUUUCAUGUGUUAUUGGUCAUUUGUUUAUCUUCUU